rnacentral:lncRNA from 1 species
UAGAAUAUUAGGGGCUAUUGAUAGGAACUGCAUAAAAAGCGGCUUGUGUAAUUUUAGUGGGCCUGAACACCGGUCCGGUUGCGUAAACCCGAAGCGAAAAGCAGUCGCACCGCCUUAACUAUGGAAGAAACCCUAAUACAAAUAGAUAGCUAUGGCAACCAAAAAUCUAACACUCUUUCAUUUGUUAAGGUGAGUUGUUGAAAACCUAUUCGUUAUUGAGUUCAUAUAUUGAUAUUUUCGGUUUUUUUUUUUUCUUAUCGUAUUUUUUCUCCCUUGAUCACCUUGCUUUUGUUAAUGUGAAGCUUGGAGAGGAGCAUCUGCCAAAAGAAAGUAAUAACUCUUGAAGGAGCAUUGUUGAUUAAUUCUCUGAGGUUAUUAAUCAUGAAUAGUAUUUUCUUCGACAUGGAUUUAACCCUAGAAGUUGACAUUUCAAUGAAAAGUAUGCAAAACAAAAGCAUAACAAAAAGUUUUUUUGUUUCAAUGUUUUUGCUUGUAUAAGUUUGGUUGGCUUUGAAUGUUCUUGCCCCCCCCCCCCCCCCGUAGUGCAUCGACUUGCAUGAUGUGUUUUUACGAGAUAGCCUACGGAGUUCUUAUCCUCUAUUGAAAUUUACUUACACGGUAACACUAAAAUAAAACUGCAUCACAUGGUAAUGAUUAUACAAAAAUCAUGAAAUUUCUUAUACAUCUUUUACUUGCAUUCUUUAAUUAAUGUUUAGAAAAUGUCUCUUAAUUGUUACAUUGUGAAAUUUUCCAUAUUCACAUUGGAUUUCACAUUUUCUCCAAUAUUAAAAUUUCACCUAUUCUAUAAUGCUUUGUGUAAUCAUUAUAAUUGUAUCUAAUUUUUGAAGUCCGCAUAGUAACCAAACUAAAAUUGUUGCAAUUUGAUCUAGAGUUAUCUUGUAAGGAAAUUUCAAUGGAUGAUAAGGACUCUACGAUUUGUUACGUAAAAAUGAUUGAUGUCAAUUGUGCAAACCAUGAAUGUACAACCCCAACUAUAAAGCGAGGGGAAAGAACCUUCAAAGCCAACCAAGCUCAUCCAAACAAUACAAUGAAACAACAAAAGUCUGUUAUUCUACAUUUGGCAUGUGAUUUUUGAAAUGUCCAGUUUCUAGGGUUAAAUUCAUGCCGAGGAACAAAUUCUAGCUCUUAGCCAAGUGCUAAUUAACACGUUGUGAGAGACAUGGCCAUUAUAUCAACUUCAUCAGAUUAUUGCAUGUCUUGAAGAAUGCAUCCAAUUUGAGCGUUGACGAUAAUCUUCUAUCAACAAUUGUCGUUGAAGAAGAAGAGGUGGAGUAAUUUGGUAACUUCUUGCCUUCUGUUCGUUUCUCCUAUUACUAUUGCAUUUCCAGUAUAAUUCUUUUAAUGGUCUUGACGUUAAAGCAAAUCUUACAAUGAAUGAAUCUAACAAUGAGGGGUAAUCAAGUUAUAUAACCUUUGAGUUUGUGAAUCACAUGUCCAACAAGAAUAACAAAAUCAACUAUGGUUUAAUAGAGCUAAAGCAAAAUUUUCCCUUUGAUAUCUUCGUUGAAGACAUUUUUUCGCAUCGCGGGUCAAGUUUGAUCUACGAAUUAUAUUCACACAAUUUGAUGUGUUUUGACAUAGGUAUCUGCCUUGUACUCCUUUAAUUGUAGCUGGUAUAUUUGCCAGAUGACAGUGAUUUUUUUUCAUUUUCAAUAUUCUUGUGUUAAAAUUCUCAGGUUACUGUCCUUGACUUGUGUUGUAUCAUGAAAAAAUAAGUGUAAGACAAAUGUUGUUUGGGAGAUGAUCUUGAGAUUGAUUAUCCUGGGAUUCCAACUAUUGCUAAAAAGAAAAGAGUAGCUAUUGAUUUUGUUGCUAUUAGCUCUAAAAAUCCAUUUAAUAUGGUGUGUCUGAAUACUAUACCUGAUAUAUAGACUAUAAAGGUUCGAGUUUGCACUUGAAAUUGUAGAGUGCAAAAUGCUUUGAUUAGUGCUCUUAAUGAACAAAUAGGAUUCUGGAUGGAAACAUGCCUUUGGAACUAAGGGGGAUGGUGGAGUUAAAAUGUACAUUAAGUACUAGACAGAAAUAAGUAAUUCUUUUGUAGUUGAGUUUAUUGUCAAGUCCAUCUACUUGUUCCUUUCGUUCUUAGUCUUUCCUUGGCAAGAUUGGAACAAUCACGUGAAUCUUAAAAGGUUUGAUACUAGAUGGUUCAUCUUGCCAGUGAAUCUUAAAAUCGGUGUUGGCUAUAUUUCUGACUGUAUUUCUGUCAUUGCAACCCUUCUUAUUAUAAUAAUUAAAAGAAAGUAAGGUUUUUUGUUUUGAUUAUUUCUUCAAAACUUGUUUCUAGGAUUGGAAAUAUUAAAAUGGUCUCCAUCAUCCUUCUAUGAGGCAUAACACUUGGGUUUUCAAUUGGUAGUUAACUCUUUAUUGGUAGUAAUCUUUUAAAUGUUAUGAAUAGGUUUUGUAUUAGCAGUUCAUCUGCUAUCAACUACAGUAGAACUUAGUUUGCAAUGUAAUGAUGCCUAAAUCUAUUCAUUUUUUAAUUAUAUACCGACGUGUAAUCUAACAGGAAUCCUUCCACCUUUACACCGCUGUGGAAUCAUGUCACCAAUAUUAGUUAGUAGCAUUUAUUCCUUCUCAGUGUUCCGUCGAUCAUUCAUAGUUUCAAGUCAUAGUUCGAAGCUUUCAACUUGUAAACAAUGCAUUCAGAUCAUUGCAUACAGAAUGGAAUUCACGCAGUCAAGCCUGACUACUACUGAAGUCCUUUGAAAUUGCUUUCAGCUACCAAGGGAAAAAAGGCUGGAUUGCUGUUUAUGGAUUAGGUCUGCAACAUUGUGAGUUUUAAUUUGGAUAUACCCUACGAGAGACACUAUUGUGUUUGUUUGGAGAAUCUAGUACAUGCCAGCUUUCUAGAAUCCCUAUUCAAGUUGUCAUUCUAGGACAACUCUCUUUUAGUGGAAGCUCUAACACAUGGUUCUUACAUGGUGCCUGAAGUCCCUAGAUGUUAUCUGGUACCUUACUGUUGUGAUCAUUCUUCAUAUAGAAACGAGACAUUAGCAUAUAUGUAUAAAUGCAAGACAAUUUAGACAAAAUAUUUUUCCACUCCACAUUGACCAACUAUCUAUCUUUCUCCAAGCCUUGGUGAAACUCAAUAAAUUUUGAUUAUUGACAUUCUUCUUCAUGAUCAAUUAAUUGUGUUUUCCUAUUUUCUUCUUGUUACAUGCGAUUGUCUUUUACCUCAAUUUUUUAAUGAUAUAUUCUACAGCGGACUAGAAUUUCUGUGAGACUUAUCUUAAUUAGUAUGCAUUUUGUACAAAGAAUAUAAUCGCAUUAACAGACAUGAAGGCAGCUUCUGUAAUAAUUAUGCAAAGUCAGCCAUUGAGGCUCAGUUGCAUAAACAUGUAUCCGUGCCUCUUAAGAGCCAUAUAUUGUUGUCACAGUUGAUAGUUUUGUUGAUCUGCCUUUGUCAUCAUUUUUUGGAUGUGAGUCGGUCAGAGAUUUGGUUGCUAAGUUUUGGCUGUGGGAUCAUUUGGUCAUUGUUUUUCUGUAAAAUGCACAAGUUGUUCAUACUUAAUUAUUUUGUGGUUUAAGAUCCUACUUAGUAUCUCAUUAUUAAUAAUAUUCUGUGUUACUUGGACUCACAGCUGUCCGUUAAUCUCAUCACAGGUGCUGUCUCCAAGUUCCAUGCCUAUGCGGUAACUGUCCAGGAUAUCAAGGAUACAAUAGCUUCUCGCAGCUUCACUAUCCAGCACACUCUCAGAGAAGGUAAUCAUUGUGCCGAUUACAUGGCUAAGCUAGGAGCCUCAUCUAAUUCUG